UUGAAUUUGUUUUUAGUUUGCUUCAGAAGUCUUUCUAGUUUGAUCUAAGUUGGAUUUUAAAUUUUUCUAGGUGAAAUAUUGCUUCAGUAUACUGAUCCUAAGCAGGUAGAUGGCCGACCACGAAGAGAUACUUGGAGGAAGUGUGAGCCUAAUAUACCAUUCUAACUGUUCUAAAGAUUGACACUGUGAGUGGCUAUUUUCAUAUAUUUUGUGAGGCCACAUGGAUCCUAGAUCAUUGGGUAGUAGUAUAUGAGUUGUGAAAAAAACUUUUGUGGUCAAAUUGCUAUUUCCAGUUCCAUACCCAUGGUUUGAGUUGAUUAGGAGCAAUUACCAGCACAGAAUAUUCUUCACAGAGCUCCAGAGAACAUAAGGAAAGUAUUAGAGUCUGCUCUUGACUUCUUUUUCU